rnacentral:rRNA from 1 species
CAUAUCAAUAAGCGGAGGAAAAGAAACUAACAAGGAUUCCCCUAGUAACGGCGAGUGAAGAGGGAAGAGCCCAAGAUUGAAAGCUGGCACCUUCGGUGUCCGCAUUGUAAUCUCAAGAAACAUUUUCCGCUUCGGACCAAGCCUAAGUCUCUUGGAAAAGAGCAUCGUAGAGGGUGAGAAUCCCGUACAUGGCUUGGAGCGCCCGAGGCUUUGUGAUAUGUUUUCUAAGAGUCGAGUUGUUUGGGAAUGCAGCUCAAAAUGGGUGGUAAAUGCCAUCUAAGGCUAAAUAUUGGGGAGAGACCGAUAGCGAACAAGUACCGUGAGGGAAAGAUGAAAAGAACUUUGAAAAGAGAGUUAAACAGUACGUGAAAUUGCCAAAAGGGAAGGGUAGGAGGUCAGAGAUGCGGCUUGGGAUUCAGCCUUGCUUUUGCAUGGUGUUUUUCCCAUUUUGCAGGCCAACGUCGGUUUUGGGCACUGGAGAAGGGUAGGAGGAAUGUGGCACCUCUCGGGGUGUGUUAUAGCCUCCUACUGGAUACAGCGACCGAGACCGAGGAACGCAGCGUACUCGAAAGAGCGGGCCUUCGGGCACCUUUACGCUU